CUGUUCAGCUAAACUCCAUCUUCUCUGCAAAAACGGACCCAAGAGAAAAUCCGGAAAAAACCCUGACUUUGAGUUCAGUUAAAGAAGUAUGAAUGCAGACACAAUUAAUAUCAACACAAUUUGGAAAAGUUAUAUGAAUCUUGGCAAUGAAUUUCCCAACCCCAAGGUGAAAAUCUCGCAUGCACUUGAUUACACAUUUCCAGUUCACUUUUUAUACAUUACUCUGAUUCUCUAUUUAACAUACCACGACUAGGGUACUGUACAUUUUGAUUUACGUUAAUGGACAGAGUUACAAUUCGGUCAAACACCAAUACACUCGACUCAGGUCGAAAACAAAAAAAACUCAGAUUCACUUAGGUCGGACACAAUGUCCGGGGUGGUUCCCUCUCUACGUCGGACAAUUUCACGAAUAGGUCGGACAAUGUCCGUGACCGACCGAUAUUUUAAGGCCUGGUAGUGUACUCGCCUAGCAUAGACACGUACCAAAUUUUUGGUUAAACAUGUUCAAACAUUUGUAUAACAUAUUUAACCAUAAAAUUUAAACUAUAUAGUCUUUAUUUGAGCCAUGCAGGUGAUGCAGCGUCUGGGUAUAAGGCAGUGCAGAACAACAUAAAGCUUUUGUAUAGUCGCUCGCUCUCGCGACUUCGUCGAUCCGCAUACGAGGUCGACUUGUAGCAAUUAAGUUUAUUGUUUCUAGGACUAGGAAAGAACAUGUAAUUCAUAGACGGAUUUUCAUAUUUAUUACUGGGGUGGUGCCAGAAAUUUUAGG
rnacentral:lncRNA from 1 species